rnacentral:lncRNA from 1 species
AUGUGUUACGAUGAACGAGUAACGACGAAACGUUUUUCCUCGCUAAUUCCUCGUAAAGCCUCAUUUACGACAAACUCACGAGGAAUACCGCCGUCGUUAAACUUGUGUUUUCUUGUAGUGGAAGCACAUGGUUAUGAGUAUCAUUUUGGAAGAGACAUAAUCAGAAAAGGAAAAGUUAAAGUAUUAAAGAUACCUACAGCUUACAAUCCUGCAGACAUUUUCACAGAAGUAUUGCGAGUUUAUAAUUUGAGAGAAGCAUUGAAGAUGCUUCAGAUUGGUAAAGAAUAAAGAGUGACCUAAGGGCAUCCGGU